AAAGAUAUCUGGUUGAUCCUGCCUGAACUGAUGUGUUCAUUUCAAAGAUUAAGCCAUGCAUGUAUAAGUUUAAUCGUUUUAACGAGAAACCGCGAACGGCUCAUUACAAUGGCCAUGAUUUACUUGAUCUUGAUUAUCUAAAUGGAUAACUGUGGAAAAGCUAGAGCUAAUACAUGCACCAGAGCUUUGUCCUCUCGGAAAAGCGCAUUUAUUAGAACAAAACCACGCGGCUUCGGCUGCUUCUUGUUGACUCAGAAUAACUAAGCUGACCGCAUGGCCUUGUGCCGGCGGCGUGUCUUUCAAGCGUCCACUUUAUCAACUUGACGGGAGCAUAAUCGACUCCCGUGGUGGUGACGGAUAACGGAGGAUCAGGGUUCGACUCCGGAGAAGGGGCCUGAGAAAUGGCCACUACGUCUAAGGAUGGCAGCAGGCGCGCAAAUUACCCACUCUCGGCUCGAGGAGGUAGUGACGAGAAAUAACGAGACUGUUCUCUUUGAGGCCGGUCAUCGGAAUGGGUACAAUUUAAACCCUUUAACGAGUAUCAAGCAGAGGGCAAGUCUGGUGCCAGCAGCCGCGGUAAUUCCAGCUCUGCUAAUACAUAGAAUUAUUGCUGCGGUUAAAAAGCUCGUAGUUGGAUUCGUAUCGGUACCUUGGAACCCUUCGGGUGUUUCUGGGUGUUAUCGAUUUAUCGUAAUGUUCGGUUUUGAGUCCUUAACAGGAUUUUUAACAGUCAUUGCAAGUUUACUUUGAACAAAUCAGAGUGCUUCAAACAGGCGUUUUCGCUUGAAUGAUCGUGCAUGGAAUAAUAGAAAACGAUUUCGGUUCAGUUUUAUUGGUUUUACGGACUGAGAUAAUGGUUAACAAUAGACAAACGGGGGCAUUUGUAUGGCCCCGUGAGAGGUGAAAUUCUUGGACCGUGGCCAGACAAACUACAGCGAAAGCAUUUGCCAAGAAUGUCUUCAUUAAUCAAGAACGAAAGUCAGAGGUUCGAAGGCGAUCAGAUACCGCCCUAGUUCUGACCGUAAACGAUGCCAACUAGCGAUCCGCUGAUGGAAAUUAUAUUGCCUUGGUGGGGAGCUUCCCGGAAACGAAAGUCUUCCGGUUCCGGGGGAAGUAUGGUUGCAAAGCUGAAACUUAAAGGAAUUGACGGAAGGGCACCACCAGGAGUGGAGCCUGCGGCUUAAUUUGACUCAACACGGGGAAACUCACCCGGCCCGGACACUGUGAGGAUUGACAGAUUGAUAGCUUUUUCAUGAUUCAGUGGAUGGUGGUGCAUGGCCGUUCUUAGUUCGUGGAGUGAUUUGUCUGGUUUAUUCCGAUAACGAGCGAGACUCUAACCUACUAAAUAGUUGGUACAUACUCUUUGUGUAUACAGCUUCUUAGAGGGAUUUGCGGCGUUCAGCCGAAAGAAAUUGAGCAAUAACAGGUCUGUGAUGCCCUUAGAUGUCCGGGGCUGCACGCGCGCUACACUGGCAAAAUCAACGUGCUUGUCCUACCCUGAAAGGGGCGGGUAAACCAUUGAAAAUUUGCCGUGAUUGGGAUCGGAAAUUGCAAUUAUUUUCCGUGAACGAGGAAUUCCAAGUAAGUGCGAGUCAUCAGCUCGCGUUGAUUACGUCCCUGCCCUUUGUACACACCGCCCGUCGCUGCCCGGGACUGAGCCAUUUCGAGAAAUUUGGGGACCGUUGAUUUAAUUUAUCUAAAUUAUUUUGAUGGAAACCAAUUUAAUCGCAGUGGCUUGAACCGGGCAAAAGUCGUAACAAGGUAGCUGUAGGUGAACCUGCUGCUGGAUCAUUACUUUA